AACGAACGCUGGCGGCAUGCCUAACACAUGCAAGUCGAACGAGACCUUCGGGUCUAGUGGCGCACGGGUGCGUAACGCGUGGGAACCUGCCCUUAGGUUCGGAAUAACUCCCCGAAAGGGGUGCUAAUACCGGAUCAUGUCUUCGGUCCAAAGAUUUAUCGCCUUUGGAUGGGCCCGCGUUGGAUUAGCUAGUUGGUAGGGUAAAAGCCUACCAAGGCGACGAUCCAUAGCUGGUCUGAGAGGAUGAUCAGCCACACUGGUACUGAGACACGGCCCAGACUCCUACGGGAGGCAGCAGUGGGGAAUAUUGGACAGUGGGCGAAAGCCUGAUCCAGCAAUGCCGCGUGAGUGAUGAAGGCCUUAGGGUUGUAAAGCUCUUUUACCCGGGAUGAUAAUGACAGUACCGGGAGAAUAAGCUCCGGCUAACUCCGUG
rnacentral:rRNA from 1 species